UCAUGCUAUGCUCAUGAGUAUGAUGAAACAGAAAGGAAAUGCAACAUCUUAAAAGCAUGGUAGGAAGUUUACCUUUGAUUUGAGCUGCUGGCCAUGCUUAACAGUCCGGUCUUCAACCGUGCUGAGUGAAGGAGAUUCAUUGACAUGGGGGGCCUUCUGAAACAUUGGAAAUGGGCAGAGGCUGAAAACUUUGGGUGUCAGGCUGUUUGAAGUGGGGAGUCAUGCCUCAAAUAUAAAUUUUGGUGUCCUUAGUGAAAGUUGAAGCAAAACAUUGGAAAUUUGAGUUGUUCUUCAUAAUGCCUAUUAAGUUCACGAGAUCUUGCGAAAGAAAUGGGAGAAGGAAGGUAUGUACGCUCUUGUCAUGAAUAGAUCAAAAUGAGUCUUGUGGUCAUUUAAGGGAGAGCAGCAAUUGAGGUUACAAAUGAAGGUGUUGAUGCUGCAGGGCAUACAAUUGGUACAUCUUUGGAGGUCAUUUCCAACUUAGAGGAAGGUUCUCAACCCCAAGAGUACCACACCUUUAGCUAGUGAUGCUGGUU